rnacentral:rRNA from 1 species
AUACGGAGGGAGCGAGCGUUAAUCGGAAUUACUGGGCGUAAAGCGCGCGUAGGCGGUUUGGUCAGUCGGAUGUGAAAGCCCUGGGCUCAACCCGGGAAUGGCAUUCGAUACUGCCUGACUAGAGUAUGGUAGAGGGAAGUGGAAUUUCCGGUGUAGCGGUGAAAUGCGUAGAUAUCGGAAGGAACACCAGUGGCGAAGGCGACUUUCUGGGCCAAUACUGACGCUAAGGUGCGAAAGCGUGGGGAGCAAACAGGAUUAGAAACCCUAGUAGUCC